CGUCGAAAUUUCGCGAGCGACGAUUUCAAUUGAACGUGAGCCUAAAACCGCGCGGAAUCCGCUUUCGUCAGCUUUGUGAGAAAUUUAAUUGACAAACGUGCGACUUUGUAAAUCGCGCGAUUAACGAGACAGAUCGACGCGACAUCGGCGAUCGUAAUUGGCAUUAUCCGAAGUGAGAUUCGCGCGGGAUCACGGGACGAGACGUGAGAGCGUCGAAAAGUCGUCCGCGGGUUUGCGACGCGUACGCGAUCGAAUAGUGCGAUUUCGCGAGUUUUCCUUCGAAAUUUGUUCCGAGCGUUCACGUGCAUGUGUUUAGUCGCUCGUUCACCUGCUGCUCACAUUGGCUCGGUUUUUGGCGAGUACCGCGAUCGAGGCUCGAGACAAUGGCGUGAUGAAUCGUGAUGAAUCGCGGUGCAUCGAUGUGCUCCGAUCGAGAAAGUUUGGAGGUCAAGAUACGUGACCGUCGAAAGACUCGGCGCGGAAUUCGUGCGAAUAAUUAUGCGUACGCGAUGAAAUACACGAGUGUCAGAUUGAGUGAACAAUCGGGCAACUAAAGCUCGCGGCAGGACACAACCCAGCAAACACAGUCAUAUAACAAUGAUAUUGCCAUGAUAUAACAGAAUGUAACACGCAAUAUAACAU